rnacentral:lncRNA from 1 species
UUCCUAAGCUAAGAAACCAACACCCCUAAAUUCCCCCCACAACGAACUCGAAUGCAGAUCGAGAACCGCCAGCUGCUGUAACUUCCCAAUCCCAUUCGGAAACCUGCUAGUAAAAUUAUUCCUAGGAAAAUUAAGAUAACUCAAACCAUACAGAUCAUUAAUCUUUUCAGGAACAUGCCUGUAAAACUCAUUACCAGACAGAUCUAGAUACUGAAGCGAAUACAUUGACCCGAGAUUCGAAACAAUCCUGCCGGUCAAUCGGUUCCCAGACUAGCUCAAGUUCUUCAAAUUUUUCAACAUAAGCAAAGUACUAAACUUUAUUUCACCGAUCAACUGAAUCCAGUCAAGAUUAAUGGAUACAACCCGACCAUCCAUGCUCUGGUUGUUGAACUCAUCUUUCUGUAUGCUCUGGUUGUUGAACUCAUCUUUCGGUUGCCAGAUCAUCAACAAACUGGGACUAUCCGGGUAACAAAUUGUCAAACCACAGGGAGCACAGGUGUAAUUUCCAAACGUUGGGGACUAUAGGUGUUAUUUUACAAAACCACAGGGACUAUCCGUACAUUUUACUCUUCCAAAUGCUACACGGUUUGUACUUUUGACCUAACCAAGUUAGUUUUUUUUUCAUUUAAUCAGAUCACACAAUGGUAAUUUAGUCUUCUUACCCAUUUAUUUUAAAAUUAUUUUAACAAAUAAAACAAAAUAAAUUUAAAAACAAUAAAAUAUGUUAUAAUAUAUUAAUGGGACCUCAUCAUCGUACUCUACAACUUCCAGAUCAUCUCCUUCGGUGAAUUUUCACCUCACAAUUCUUCAUUCGGUACAUAUUUAUUAUAUUUUUGAUCCAAGUAGUGGCGGAUCUAGGAAUUUUUUUUUUACUAUGUUCACCUUUUUAUGACUGAACAUAAAAAACUUUAGGUCGGUUCGACGGUUCGGGUCAAAUAAGGUACAUCACAUGUAAAAAUACGAUACAGUUGUAUUCAUAAAGUAAAAUGAACACAACUUUAUUUCUGAUCUUGUCAACCCAAAUGUAAUUUCUAUAAUUCAUACUUUAUCCAUUGACGGUUAUACCUUUAAUAGAUA